rnacentral:rRNA from 1 species
UACGUAGGGGGGCUAGCGUUGUCCGGAAUCAUUGGGCGUAAAGAGCGUGUAGGCGGCUCGAUAAGUCCGCUGUGAAAGUCGGGGGCUCAACCCUCGAAUGCCGGUGGAUACUGUCGGGCUAGAGUGCGGAAGAGGCGAGUGGAAUUCCUGGUGUAGCGGUGAAAUGCGCAGAUAUCAGGAGGAACACCAAUUGCGAAGGCAGCUCGCUGGGACGUAACUGACGCUGAGACGCGAAAGCGUGGGGAGCAAACAGG